rnacentral:rRNA from 1 species
CCCUGCCAUUUGUACACACCGCCCGUCGCUCCUACCGAUUGGAUGGUCCGGUGAAGUCUUCGGAUCGCGCGCUCGCGGGGCAACCCGUGGCUGCGUGCGAGAAGUUGCCUAAACUUUACCAUCUAGAGGAAGGAGAAGUCGUAACAAGGU